ACCAGGAACGCCUGACCACGUCAGAAACAACCAGACCUAUUUACAUCCACAAAGGAGGCAGAAUUAGGCCUUCAGCUCCAAACGGCGCUCCUCUAAGUCUGGAGAACGUUUCACAAUAUCGCGGCACAAAUGAAAUGCUUCCUGGAAACACAAUGACGAGCGUUUGUGCAGAUCCGGCUGGAGAGAAGUCAGACACAGAUAAGACGCUCCAGUAUGACAUGAGUUUAAAUAUUUCCGAAGCAAAACGAGAGGAAACAGAGACACGCAGCGAGUCCAGCAGACAGGAACAAAGUCCUGCUCUCCAGUUUCCUGUCUGCACAUCAGCAUGGAGGCCCAUCAGUAAUGAGCUGGCACACACCAAGAUGGCAGCUCACGCAGCCUCGAGAAAAAAGACGGGGAAAGCUCGUCAUGUCCAAUGUGUGCAGUGGGAAGAGAGCCACGACCUUUGCUGAUGCGGCUGCGACUUCCCUCCAGUCGGCCGCGCUUCUGAAGCUUCGGGAGGAAAAUCUGCCUUCAAACACCUCGACUCAUGAAGCAGCAUCAGGAAGCAUCUCCAGUUGCUGCUGCGAAUCAGGCUGAGCGACAUGGACUGAAGGUUGGUCCUGAGGAUCUAUGAUCAGAACAAUUAAAGUGACGACACCAACUAUUUAUUCAGGUUUUUAGGCAACAGCAUGAACAAACAGAAAUACUGGAAAAUAUUCCCAUUAAAACAAGAUUCUUUAGGACUCCAGUCACAUGAAGACGUGUCAUUUGUGUCACUAAUCUGUAAUUUAUUGAUAUUUAUUCGCUCCAUCAGGAUAAUAAAUUUUACUGGACAAUAAACAAAAA